GGUAAGUCCUGGGACACACGAACACUGCCAUCAUUAUAUACAUUACAGGUCGUGGCUUUUUGAAGGUCCUAUACGUGAAGAGCAAUCCAUGGUAUGUAGAUCCAAUGUGAAGACAAGGAGAAUUCAGAAAAGCAGACAGGUGUAAAACACACUGUAAUUAUAGAAGCUCAAAUUAGCUGAGAGGCCCGAGGCUAGAAAGAGAACAGCACCUCGACAAAAG